AUCAGCCUUUCGGGUGCGAUUCUGUGGGGUUUGAGGAGCUUAACACCUUCAUGCUUUGCAUAUUCGUGCUCUUGGGUGUACUUGCCCGUGUGGUUGGUUAACAUCAAUUUUGGUGGUCAUAAAAUGACUGGAGGAAUGUAGCUUCGAUCUUGUAUUGAAGUGUUAUAGCCUUCGGUAGAUGUGAUGAUCGAGAUUGAGGAUUGCAACGGAUACCCUUCGGGGCUACCUGUCUGAUCUCUGAUCGUUGUUCUGGUGCCGAAAGCCUGCUUACGGUUAUCAAAGUCGAUGGUCAAUAGGUUAGAACGGGUUAAAUUCGUUAAGGAUGUUGACGUAAUGGCUUU
rnacentral:rRNA from 1 species